rnacentral:rRNA from 1 species
UACAGAGGUCCCGAGCGUUGUUCGGAUUCAUUGGGCGUAAAGAGCGUGUAGGCGGCCCGGUAAGUCCGCUGUAAAAGUCAAAGGCUCAACCUUUGAAUGUCAGUGGAUACUGCCGGGCUAGAGUCCGGAAGAGGCGAGUGGAACUCCUGGUGUAGCGGUGGAAUGCGCAGAUAUCAGGAAGAAUACCAACGGCGAAGACAGCCCCCUGGGUCAAGACUGACGCUGAGGCGCGAAAGCUAGGGGAGCAAACAGG